rnacentral:misc_RNA from 1 species
CAUUAUGCGAGAGGAUUCAGUGGAAUUUGAAGAGGGUAUCAUACUUGAGGAAUUUCGCAAGGGGUUCAAGCUUGGUGACAGGCUCUUGCGCCCGUCAAUGGUCAAAGUAUCAUCUGGUCCAGGUCCUGCAAAGCCUCAACAAGUGGGGUCAUCAGGAGGAGCUGAAACUGCAAGCGAAACAACUGAGGACAGCCGAGAACCAGUGUCUUCUUAGGAGACAAUAUACUCAACCUUGACGAGUUUUGAAAAAGUAUAAUCUAUAUUAUUGUGAUAUCUUUAGGGCACUCAAUUGUUAUUUAUGGGAUGUGAUUUUUGCAAAACUCGUCAAGGUUG